rnacentral:rRNA from 1 species
GACGAACGCUGGCGGCAUGCCUAACACAUGCAAGUCGAACGGAAGUAGCAAUACUUUAGUGGCGAACGGGUGAGUAACACGUGAGCAACCUGCCUUAUACUCAGGGAUAACAGUUGGAAACGACUGCUAAUACCGGAUAAGACCACACUAUGGCAUCAUAGAGGGGUCAAAGUGAUUUAGCGGUAUGAGAUGGGCUCGCGUCCAAUUAGCUAGUUGGUGGGGUAACGGCCCACCAAGGCGACGAUUGGUAGCCGACUUGAGAGAGUGAUCGGCCACACUGGAACUGAGACACGGUCCAGACUCCUACGGGAGGCAGCAGUGGGGAAUAUUGGGCAAUGGAGGAAACUCUUACCCAGCAAUGCCGCGUGAGUGAUGAAGGUCUUUGGAUUGUAAAGCUCUUUGAUUGGGGACGAAUAAAUGACGGUACCCAAAGAACAAGCCCCGGCUAACUAUGUGCCAGCAGCCGCGGUAAUACAUAGGGGGCGAGCGUUGUCCGGAAUGACUGGGCGUAAAGGGUGUGUAGGCGGUUUAUUAAGUUAGGAGUGUAAUACCCAGGGCUUAACCCGGGUGCUGCUUCUAAACUGGUAGACUUGAGUGUAGGAGAGGAUGAUGGAAUUCCUAGUGUAGCGGUGGAAUGCGCAGAUAUUAGGAGGAACACCAGAGGCGAAAGCGAUCAUCUGGACUACAACUGACGCUGAGGCACGAAAGCGUGGGGAGCAAACAGG